AUUGAACGCUGGCGGCAGGCCUAACACAUGCAAGUCGAGCGGAUGAAGGGAGCUUGCUCCUGGAUUCAGCUGCGGACGGGUGAGUAAUUCCUAGGAAUCUGCCUGGUAGUGGGGGAUAACGUCCGGAAACGGGCGCUAAUACCGCAUACGUCCUGAGGGAGAAAGUGGGGGAUCUUCGGACCUCACGCUAUCAGAUGAGCCUAGGUCGGAUUAGCUAGUUGGUGGGGUAAAGGCCUACCAAGGCGACGAUCCGUAACUGGUCUGAGAGGAUGAUCAGCCACACUGGAACUGAGACACGGUCCAGACUCCUACGGGAGGCAGCAGUGGGGAAUAUUGGACAAUGGGCGAAAGCCUGAUCCAGCCAUGCCGCGUGUGUGAAGAAGGUCUUCGGAUUGUAAAGCACUUUAAGUUGGGAGGAAGGGCAGUAAGUUAAUACCUUGCUGUUUUGACGUUACCAACAGAAUAAGCACCGGCUAACUUCGUG
rnacentral:rRNA from 1 species